AAAGCAAGCAACCCCAUGCACUCGAGAGCAGGAACCAUGCAAAGGUCGCUCUGUUAGCAAAUAUCUGGCGUCAUUCCAUUUCAAACAUGACCUCAGUCUCCUACGUGGUUCAGCACAGAUGUGUCAACCAAACACCACGUGGAGCAUUGAGAAAGUGCCACAAAUGCUUUGUUUUCCAGCAACUUUCUUAGAUAGCCGGCGCCAGCAGAGAACAAUGCUGAAGGUGCAUUGGCCUAGCGACGAGGGGCUGGCGCGGUCUGCGGGUUCCUGCACCACACGAGAACUGGCCGGAAGGUCUUGGUCAUUGAGGGACGGGUGAAACGUGAAAUACCGAAUCCAUUGGAACCAAAAUGAAGGAAGCAUGAGGUCCCUCUAUUUUGGGGCAUCAGUCGCCAGUGCAAAACGCUUCCGCUGGUAAAGGCGAGUGCGAAUGACACCCGGCGACCGUACCGGAGUUUUCCCAACCAUACCGUUGGGUGAUAUCUUUUUUCUUUCGCCUUUCCCACCUCCAAAGAUUCUGGUUUUUUCUCUGACUCGGGGAUAUUUCUUCUGAGACAGGAAACGGGCAGUCUGUCUGUACGCAUUCUUUCAUUCACUUGAGUGUAGAAAGCAAGGAAAAUGAUGAUUCUGUACUCAUAUCGUCGCCUGCAGGUGGCACACUCACCAGACUACUCCGGGAUGCCACUGGAUAAAAAGCAAGCAACCCCAUGCACUCGGGAUCAGAGAAACGUACCAAGCAAAUGUCGCUAUGUUAAAAAACUGUCUGGCGUCUUUCCUUUUCAAACACGACCUCAGCCUCCUACGUGGUUCAGCACAGAUGUGUCAACCAAACACCACGUGGAGCAUUGAGAAAGUGCCACAAAUGCGUUGUUUUUCCAUCAGCUAUUUUCGGUUGCUUUCAUUAUUUGUUCAUCCACAGCCACAGCGUCUGCAAAGCCUCCUCUUCCAAUUAGUAGUUUUGUUCUGCAGUUUUGGCUUUCUUAACGCGUUAAGUAUUUCCACACAUAAACGUACCGGUUUUGAAAAUGACACAUAUUGACCACACCUUGCAACGAAAAGCGUAUUAUGGCAAUUAUGUUGGCAGUUACGAGUUAACGCAGAUAAGAAAUACGUCACUUGAAGUGUCUUUUGUUAUAAAUGGUGUGAUAUACUGAGGCUCUGUCACCUUUCAACCUGAAGGCGAAUAUACAUUAGCAUUUUUCUGGGAACCUCCACGCAUGCCUGUUAGACGUCAGUCCGCAUACUGCUGAAUAAGCACGCGUAUACCCGAGGUACUUUCGCCUUCAUGGUUCCCACCCCGUGCUUUCCUGUAAGCAGUUUCUCGG
rnacentral:lncRNA from 1 species